rnacentral:lncRNA from 1 species
CUAUAGUGGUUUCCCAUAGAAUAAGCAAAUAUAAUUUUCAGUGCAUUUCUUUUCAGACAAAUAGGGCUUGGUUCUUCAGAAAAAAAAAAUGGCUUGGUUCAUGGUCUCUCCUUUCCAUUUUUAUUUAUUUAAGAAUGACCAAGAUUGGAGAUUUGGUUGUAUCUCAGUGCUUACGCACUCCAAAUCCAUGGUUGGAUAUAUGAUCAUACCUUCCAAUUUGUUAUUGUAACGGAAAAAUAGCUCACCAGAAAACUGGAAGAUGGUCUAUCACUCUGAAACCUUUUCUUUUCUUGUUACAUUGGCCCAAAGCCCAAAAAGCUGGGUUAAUCGUUUUAUUAGUCCCUGAAUUUAGACCCAAUUUGCAUUUGAGUCCCUCAAUUUUCAAAAUGGUUCCCGUGGUCCUUUAACUUCACUUUCGUUAGGACAAAUGGUCUUGUCGUCAAUUUUGUUAACUUUUUCAGUUAAAUGCAUGGGAAAAAUGGUAUUUUUAUAUUAAAACCAAAAAAAUGAAUAAAAAAUAAUAUUUUUAAAAUAACAAUAAAAGAAAAUCAAAUAAAAAACCAACCAAAAAAAAAAAAGAAAGUUUUGGGAGGAGUAUAAAUUGAAAUAUAGGGGGGGAGAGAGAGUUUAUUUUUAAUUUUUUAUUCAUAUUUUAAUCAAUUUUGAUACAAAACCAUUUUGCCCAUGCAUUUAACACAAAAGUUAACAAAAUUGACGGCUGGACCAUUUGUUCUAAAUAAAAACUAAAGUUAAAGGACCACGGGAACUGUUUUAGAAAUUGAGGGAAUCAAAUGCAAAUUGGGUCUAAGUUCAAGAACUAAUAAAACGAUUAACCCCGAAAAGCUAAACAAACCACCAAUGCUUAUACAAACGAUCCAAUCCAAAGCAAAAACUCAUAAGCCCCGUUUGGUGGACUGGAUUGGAUUGAUUAUGAUAAGACUUCGAGUGUUGGACUGAGUUGGACUUUAAGUCCUCU